GACGAACGCUGGCGGUGUGCUUAACACAUGCAAGUCGUGCGACGAACCAGACUUCGGUCUGGGGCAAAGCGGCGAACGGGUGAGUAACACGUGGGUAAUCUGCCCCGAUGACUGGGACAACCCGAGGAAACUCGGGCUAAUACCGGAUGUGGUGCCUGGACUCAAGUCCGGUCACUAAAGGUAGCUUCGGCUUCCGCAUUGGGAGGGGCCCGCGGCCCAUUAGCUUGUUGGUGGGGUCAAGGCCUACCAAGGCAACGAUGGGUAGCUGGUCUGAGAGGACGAUCAGCCACACUGGGACUGAGACACGGCCCAGACUCCUACGGGAGGCAGCAGUGGGGAAUCUUGCGCAAUGCGCGAAAGCGUGACGCAGCAACACCGCGUGAGGGAAGACGGCCUUAGGGUUGUAAACCUCUUUCAGAUGGGACGAAGGUGAUGCGGUGAAUAGCCGAUGUCAUUGACGGUACCGUCAGAAGAAGCUCCGGCUAACUACG
rnacentral:rRNA from 1 species